UGUGAAAGCUUUGGUUGACACUGGCUGC
rnacentral:piRNA from 1 species